GCCCUCCCUCUGUUCAGAAUGAGGAGAACGUAAAUUCCUGCCUGUCUGGUUAGAGCUCAAAUGAUAGAUUCUCACCCAGGAGCUUUUCGAUCUACACUAGGAAGGCUCAAAAGUCAGUGGUGGAAGCUAGAAAGUCUGUGCUACUGGAGUGAAGGAUCUGUGCCAGCAGGCUGAGUGUUCUGAAGCGGAGCUGAGAAGAGACACUCAAGGACCAGUGCUUCUCUGAAAAGUACCACAGCCAUUCUCAGUGACAAUGAGGUCCUGAGCUCCUCCAACAAGGAGAACAGCUGAGUCCAUGUCAGCAAGCCAGUGUGACAGGCUUCUCCUGGAAAUUGAACAGCACACAUCUUCCCCUCUGGAGCCAGGAAGCAAUGCCCACUGUAGGGAUCAGAGCUCCCUGAACGUGAACCACUGGCAUUCUCAGCAACAAUGUCCUGUGCUUCUUUGAUGACAACAGAGCUUCUUCUGGGAAGGAUCCAGCAAAGCCCACUCCUCCCUGGUGAACUUCACAGCCACGUCCUCGAAGGUCACCGCCUCCUGCAUCAUCAGACAUGGAUUCCAGGAGGAAGAGUGAGGUUCACAGCACGAGCCAGCUCAGCUCUACUCAUAAAAUGCUCCCGUGGGACAUUGUCCUCGUAAAAUGCUCCCUGGGGCCACAUUUCCCACAUCUUUACUUCCUGUCUUGCUUAUUAAAGUCUUAUUCUCCAACCA